UGACAUGUGUAGCGGCGCCCCGUCCCCGCUCGCCACGUUCAGAGGUGUGUAACGACUCACCGCAGCGGGUCCCGGAUGCCCCGUAUGACCAGGUCGAGCGCCAGUGACAUGUGUAGCGGCGCCCCGUCCCCGCUCGCCACGUUCAGAGGUGUGUAACGACUCACCGCAGCGGGUCCCGGAUGCCCCGUAUGACCAGGUCGAGCGCCAGUGACAUGUGUAGCGGCGCCCCGUCCCCGCUCGCCACGUUCAGAGGUGUGUAACGACUCACCGCAGCGGGUCCCGGAUG